GACGAACGCUGGCGGCGUGCUUAACACAUGCAAGUCGAACGAUGAAGCCGGAGCUUGCUCUGGUGAAUUAGUGGCGAACGGGUGAGUAACACGUGAGUAACCUGCCCUUGACUCUGGGAUAACUGCGGGAAACUGUAGCUAAUACCGGAUACGACCCUCGGAGGCAUCUCCUGGGGGUGGAAAGAAUUUCGGUCAAGGAUGGACUCGCGGCCUAUCAGCUAGUUGGUGAGGUAAAGGCCCACCAAGGCGACGACGGGUAGCCGUGCUGAGAGGGUGACCUGCCACGCUGGGACUGAGACACGGCCCAGACUCCUACGGGAGGCAGCAGUGGGGAAUAUUGCACAAUGGGCGCAAGCCUGAUGCAGCAACGCCGCGUGAGGGAUGACGGCCGUCGGGUUGUAAACCUCUUUUAGCAGGGAAGAAGCGAACGUGACGGUACCUGCAGAAAAAGCACCGGCUAACUACGUGCCAGCCGCCGCCGUAA
rnacentral:rRNA from 1 species